ensembl:lncRNA
CGUCCCCAGGUCCUUCUCCAGAGGCUCCAUCUGGGGCGUGGCCUUUGGCCUUCCUGAAGCUCCGGGAGAACCAUGCUGUCAGCAGCCUCUGCACACGAGGCACAGGGAGUUAGGAUGGAUCACACCGCUCCCCAUCGGGCCGAAUGUGUAUUUCAAUUUUCCUCCUCCUAGGUGAAGGCAGUCCACGAGCCACUCCAAUGAUCCACGUGGACGUGCCCGAUGCACGGGACUCACCAGGGUCCGCAUCCACACUCAACUUCUGCGAUCCUGUCCGGGAACAAGAGGUGUCCCUUGAUGAGCUGGACCAGCCAGUCGCUCUGCCAGGACCCUCACCCAAAGGUGAAGAGAGUGCGCGUGUCAACGAGAUGACCCACGUGAUCGUGACCGAUUCAAGGGACGCGGUGGAGACCGUAUGCGCCCCCAGUCUCCUCGAUUGCAGCCAGGAUCCGAAG